AAGUCGUAACAAGGUAACCGUAGGUGAACCUGCGGUUGGAUCAUUAAAGAAUUUUAAAGGUUUUCGAACCUUUAGCUUUAAAAAUUGGGUUAGUUCUUCCCUUAAAAGAAGACUAACUUCAAACCUUGUGUGAAUUGUAAACUGUCUUUGGUAAGAAUUGAAUGUAGUAGUUUUUCUAUUACAUUAUCGCUUACCAAAAUUUAUUUUAAAACAUUGUUUAUUUUAAAGUCUUUAAAUCAAUUACUUUAAUUGAAAACAACUUUUGACAACGGAUCUCUUGGCUCUC
rnacentral:misc_RNA from 1 species